rnacentral:misc_RNA from 1 species
UGCCCAUUUCUUAAGAGACCUUCAUUUUGCAUGAGCUUGAGUUAUCCAGAUCAGAUGGAGAAGUUGAUUUUGAUAUAUAAAUAGUAGGGGAAUGGAUGAAAUAGUCAGAAAGGAAAAGUGCUUGUCGAUACCCAGACUGGAACCGAGGAAUCAAAGAUUGGGACUUUAACAAGAAAGAAGGAAAGAAAAUAUUACACUUUACCCAAAAAAUGGUUUAAUCUCAAAAGAGAGAGAAGUAGGAAGCUCAAGAUUCAGAUUAGAAGAUGUUUAAGCUUUUGAAACUAAUAAUGCUAAUUAAAUUUAAUGGAAAGCGACAAAAAACAUAACAAACAAUAUCUGUUCAGGAAUCGGGAAAAUGCAAUA